rnacentral:lncRNA from 1 species
AAUACCUCCCUUGUUCGUCUUUGAUUAUACUAUUUAUUUUACACAUCUCCAGCAAAAUAUGUUCCAGUGAUUGUUACCUUGUUUAUCCUUUGGAUUCAGUUUGUUUGUUGAUCUACAUCAUUUUACCAUUGCUUUUGUUGAAUAAUGAAGUAUCUGCUUGCUGAGUAUGAUUUAUCGUACUCACCCUUGUCUCCUCCGUCUUUUUAGAUGCAGCCGAUGUAACUUAAGUAUGCCCAGAAGAUGUCAUCCAAGAUUAAGCUGGACCAGUGGGUAGGAAGCGACUAGAGAAUUUAAUGUAGUUUGCCUAUUUGUAAAUGUAAAGAAAUUUGUAAACCAAAUAUAUGAGAUUUUGUGAUCCACUUAGUCACGCAAGGCAUGAUAAAGCAGGCAUAAACCAGCAGUGGAUCACAAAAGCUAAUAUAUUUACUAUACAAAUUCCUUAACAUCUACAAAUAGUUGAGUAAAGACAUCAUAUUCUCUAGUCGCUUCCCACCCGCUGGUCAAGCCUAGUCUUGGAUGAAGACAUCUUCUGAACAUACUUAAGUUGAACAUACUUAAGUUACCUCGUUCGCAUCUAAAAAAAAGAGGAAGCAAGGGUGAGUACGACAAAUCAUACUCAGAAAGCAGAUACUUCACUAUUCAACAAGGAGCGAUGGUAUGAUGGUGUAGAUCAACAGACGAAAUGAACAAGGAAAUUAUUGGCAUCACACAUGACCGCAAGUUUCCCAACCCGGGAGUCACAGGGGUGAAAUUUCACACUUUUACGCUCUUAAGAGGGGUACUCCGACGUCGACAUUCUCGACUAGAACCACACAGGUUCCAGAAGAGCAGAGCUCUUGUACCCACUAAGACCCGAACACCUGGACCUAAUGAUGUCGAUCGCUCCUACGGAUCCAUCACCGACACGUUCCUGAACAAGGUCCGUCCUUAGCGGAGAACUCAGACAGUCCCAUACCUGAACUGUGACCGGUACAAUAUGUUUGCCGUCGUGACACCAAUACAAAAUAGGAUAUGUGUUUGAAUCAACGGUAGAAUCACUGUAAUAUCAGUCAAAGACAAUACGCGUAUGACUUCUCACGAGUUCCUCCAAAAUACUCUGAUUCCAUCAACAAAUGGAAUACGAGGACAACACAUCCCUCACUCAAGGAUCAAGAGAGGAUCAAUAAGGAUCAAGGUGCAACAAUAUUAACCGAUAAUCAAAGAAGACAACAAUAAAGUGAGGUCGGGGAGUUAGGCAAAGCAGCUACUUGCCUCAGAUAAUAUGAUUUCUCCUUUAGAAUAAUAUUUUGCAAGAAGAUGAAACUCCAUCAUCUUUGUAUAAAAUCUGACGAACACACAUAUACUCAUAUUUCUUCUGAUGUAUGGCUUGGCUCUUCCCUCCAGCAGCACCUAAACGCUCUAUUCUUCUUCAAAUGUGGAUGCAUGCAUGAAUUCUUCAUCUCUCUUCUUUAUCUUUCUGGUGUCUUUCUUUCUCUCAGGCUCUCUCCACCAGUGUUUAUGUCUUUCUCUCAGAGUUGUGCUUUGAGCAGCGUGACCCACAGCUAUUUAUAGGAGGCGAGCGCCCGUGCAAGUCUAAAAUAUCUUGGCCUGGCUCUUACUUAAGCACUAAGAAAUGGCCACGUAUAGGACACGUAAAAGCUGACUUCUAUUUUCUAUUUCUACGUUCCUCUAGUACUUGGCCACGUUGCAGCCCACGUAGGAAACAUGGGUUUCUAGCGAUGCAGCCGAUGCAUGCAUUUACUCACGUUUGCUUCCUUUCCUCUCCUGUACGUGUAGUUGAUUCACUACAGUUUUCAAAACAUCUGACACAUGCAUGCAUAUCCUCUAGAACCAAGCCACGUUGCCUCUUCCUCAUGAUUACAUACAUGCACCUAUUUGACUUGGAGCUCUAGUACUAGGAAAUAUCUACCGGUGUAUCAUUUGUACAUGGUCUAAUUUCAUCUGUUCAAAUGCCACGUUAACUCUCUUGUAAUUUUCUAGCUUAUAUGGCCAACUAGCUAGUAGUAUUUUCCAUGCCUAUAUCACAACGUGAGUACAUGAAUGCAAGUCUAUGCGCACAUACACCUAAUCUUACUUAGUGUGUAGUUUUCUAAUAUUUAAUGCAUGCAAAAAUUUACAGCUCUAUCUUAAUUCUUUGAAUCAAGAAUUUAGCAUAACUUAGCAGAUAAUACAAAUUUAAUUACUUAUCUUAAUUUAAGUCAAUAACCCAAAAAUAUGGGUUAUUACAUCCUUCCCACCUUAUAAGAAUUUCGUCCCCGAAAUUCAACACUAACAUCUAUGUUUUUUUUAGUGAUCAAAUUCCCUCCCAUCAUAUUUGGAACAGUUUAUUUGAUGCAUGCUCAAUAAUUAAUUAAAAAUAAUGCAAAAAAGGAUUUGCAAUCUUUCUACAGUUCAUGGAUAUAUCUGCUAUAACAUAAGUUGGCAACACUAAACAUUUUAUUUGGUAAAUUCAUUAACAAAAAGGAUAGAUAGUGGUAUAGCAAUUGUCCCAUUACUAGAACAAUAUCACCGGUUGUCUUAAACAAGAAAAUCUACACUAAUAACAAGUCAUGUAUUAAUCUAACAAGAUGUCUAUUUAUUUCCCAUUCAUCCUCAAAUUUCACCAAUAAUAUGUACGCUAUAUUAUUUAUUUGCAUGGAUAUCUGUCGACAAUAUUCGUGAGUAACAACACACAAACUAGUUGAGACAAGAUAUGGAAAUAAAAUUUUCAUACCUGUCACACAACACAAAUAUAUUCGGCGAUCUACCCGUUUAUCCCAACGCAACCUAAAACCUAGAGAUAUUUUAGAUCGCUAUAUUAGCUCUAGAGCAUAUAUAAUAUUUUUGAACUGGAGGAGAGAGCCCGAGAGAAAGAAAGACACCAGAAAGAUAAAGAAGAGAGAUGAAGAAUUCAUGCAUGCAUCCACAUUUGAAGAAGAAUAGAGCGUUUAGGUGCUGCUGGAGGGAAGAGUCGAGCCAUACAUCAGAAGAAAUAUGAGUAUAUGUGUGUUCGUCAGAUUUUAUACAAAGAUGAUGGAGUUUCAUCUUCUUGCAAAAUAUUAUUCUAAAGGAGAAAUCAUAUUAUCUGAGGCAAGUAGCUGCUUUGCCUAACUCCCCGAUCUCGCUUUAUUGUUGUCUUCUUUGAUUAUCGGUUAAUAUUGUUGCACCUUGAUCCUUAUUGAUCCUCUCUUGAUCCUUGAGAGAGGGAUGUGUUGUCCUCGUAUUCCAUUUGUUGAUGGAAUCAGAGUAUUUUGGAGGAACUCAUGAGAAGUCAUACGCGUAUUGUCUUUGACUGAUAUUAAAGUGAUUCUACCGUUGAUUCAAACACAUAUCCUAUUUUGUAUUGGUGUCACGACGGCAAACACCGACACGUUCCCAAACAAGGUUCGUCCUUAGCGGAGAACUCAGACAGUCCCAUACCUGAACUGUGACUGGUACAAUACGUUUGCCGUCAUGACACCAAUAUAGAUGGAUGUGUGUUUGAAUCAACGAUAGGACCAUUGAAGUAUCAGUCAAAGACAAUACACUCAUGACUUUUCAUGAGUUCCUCCAAAAUACUCUGAUUCCAUCAACAAAUAGAUUAUGAGGAAAACACAUCCCUCUUUCAAGGAUCAACAGAGGAUCAACAAAGAUCCAGGUGCAAUGAUAUUAGCAGAUAAUCAAGAAGGACAACAAUAAGGAGAGAUCAGGGAGUUUAGCAAAGCAGCUACUUGCCUCAGAUAAUAUGAUUUCUCCUUUAGAAUAAUAUUCUGCAAGAAGAUGAAGCUCCAUCAUCUUUGUAUAAAAUCUGACGAACGCGCAUAUACUAAUAAUCUUCUGACGUAUGGCUCUAGGUAUGUUAGUAACAAUAACAUAUGAGAACGUAUUUUGAACAAAGACCCACCUUGCUCUUCUGAUAAGCCUAUUUUUGAACUGGUUUGUGUGUGUCAGGUAUUUAUACCGAUGUAUCAAUAUUUUAGAUCCGUUCCAUCUAGCCUUUCUAGCUGUCCUAUUCCUUGUUUGUCUCACUGUUCAUGCCAUGCUCUAUAGCUAGUAGUACUUCUGAAGCUCUAUAAUGUGCACUGUUCAUUUGAUUCCUGUACAUCUCUUGAAGCUAGCAUGCAUACCACAGUACUACCUUUUGGUUUAUGAUCACGGUGGAGAAAUCCUUGGGACAUGCAUGUGAGCACAUGGAUUAAUGGCUCAUGCAUGGAUGGUUGGUUCUGUGAAAAGCCUAGUGAUAUUUAUUUUGGUCUUGCAUGUACUUCCUCUUGCUAAUCCUUGUCUAGUAAAUUUUAUAAAAUCUGGUAUCACGACGGGAAACGUAUUGUACCGGUCACAGUUCAGGUAUGGGACUGUCUGAGUUCUCUGCUAAAAACGCCACACGUUCGGAAGCGUGUCGAUGAUGGAUCCGUAGGAGCGAUCGACACUAGUAAGUCGAGUGGGCGGUUCUUGGGGGAGAGACCGGGCCUAGGCGAGACAGCCGCCGCGAGCCUAUAGACCAGAGGCCUAUAGUCACACAAGGCAUGAUAAAGCAGGCAUAAACCAGAAGUGGAUCACAAAAGCUAAUAUAUUUACUAUACAAAUUCCUUGACAUCUACAAAUAGUUGAGUAAAGACAUCAUAUUCUCUAGUCGCUUCCCACCCGCUGGUCAAGCCUAGUCUUGGAUGAAGACAUCUUCUGAACAUACUUAAGUUGAACAUACUUAAGUUACCUCGUUCGCAUCUAAAAAAACAUAGGAAGCAAGGGUGAGUACGACAAAUCAUACUCAGCAAGCAGAUACUUCACUAUUCAACAAGGAGCGAUGGUAUGAUGGUGUAGAUCAACAGACGAAAUGAACAAGGAAAUUAUUGGCAUCACACAUGACCGCAAGCUUCCCAACCCGGGAGUCACAGGGGUGAAAUUUCACACUUUUACGCUCUUAAGAGGGGUACUCCGACGUCGACAGUCUCGACUAGAACCACACAGGUUCCAGAAGAGCAGA